GUGUUGUGGUCACUUUCCUUUCAUUGGUGCCGAAACCCGGGAGAGGGUUAAAACCCACUUUUGGGUCCCUCUUCCUUCGGAAGUGCCACUCACCGGAUGGCCUGAACCCAGGCCUGAACCCCUUUUCUCGACUGCCAGAACUCCAUCCACCACCAGCCAGAUUGUUUUUAUCUCAAACCACAGAUGCUGCUUCUACAUCCAAGCAACAUGACAC